AUUGAACGCUGGCGGCAUGCCUUACACAUGCAAGUCGAACGGUAACAGGUCUUCGGAUGCUGACGAGUGGCGAACGGGUGAGUAAUACAUCGGAACGUGCCUAGUAGUGGGGGAUAACUACUCGAAAGAGUGGCUAAUACCGCAUGAGAUCUACGGAUGAAAGAAGGGGAUCGCAAGACCUUGUGCUACUAGAGCGGCCGAUGGCAGAUUAGGUAGUUGGUGGGAUAAAAGCUUACCAAGCCGACGAUCUGUAGCUGGUCUCAGAGAACGAUCAUCAACACUCGGACUGAGACACAGCCCAGACUCCGACUGGAGGCAGCAGUGGGGAAUUUUGGACGAUGUGCGAAAGCCUGAUCCAGCAAUUCCGCGUACAGGAUGAAGGCCUUCGGGUUGUAAACUGCUUUUGUACGGAACGAAAAGCCCCGGGUUAAUACCCUGGGGUCAUGACGGUACCGUAAGAAUAAGCACCGGCUAACGACGUGCCAGCCGCCGCCGUAA
rnacentral:rRNA from 1 species